UUUUAGCAGGACGCACAAUUUUCCUCGACCUCGGCCUGGCCGGUGCUAAGAAUCAACGUCACCGAAAUACCGCGGUGUAACUUUGAAAAAAUAGGUCGAUUAAGAGCGACGAUAUCCAUCACACUGUCUCUUAAAAUGUUCGGCCGGCGAUAGGAAAAAUAAUCUCAAAAGGGAGAAUAAAUACAGAAACACCGCUCUAGUACGUUCGGAAGAAAAAAGGAGACUGAGGUGCGAGUAGCAACGCUAGCUAACGAUAUCGUCGAACGUAGCAAGGAAAAAAAAGGUCAACAAAGCCAAACUGCGUGCGAGUAUAUUCUAAAUAUAUACAAACCGUUCGAUCUGAUCUUACUCGGCGUCGAUUACUAUGAAAAAAUGUAAACUUUAGAUAUUGACGACUUAAGAGCUGGAAUUGAUAAUCCAGAACAUUUUCUCCUUCCAUAUAUACGUAAUACACGAUAUUCGAAUUUAUAUAAAAUCAAGAAAUACUAGAUAUAGCGUUUAAAAUAGUAAAAAUGUAUAUGCUUUUAAUUUAUUUUGUACCCCGACGUAGCUUUUAAAUCUAAGACCAGAAAGCACCAAGAUCUUGAUCUCUGACCGUUACGUUAUCGUAACACGCAAAAAUAGCCCCGAAGCCGAGGAGAAAUGAAACUACAUUAUGCAUAGCGCACCAUUUUGCUUGCUGCAUUCUCGGGAUGAUAAUGGCAUCGUUUGAAGUGUUCGCGUAAUUAAUGAAGCUAAAAACUUUUGACCCUUAAUUACGCUGUCCAUUGUAUUUCGAGAGUUCUUUCUUUCUCCGGACUACUAUGAGAAUGCGAAUAAAGAAUACGGACCAUAUUGCAAUCAACGAAUGUCUCAAG